ensembl:snRNA U6 U6 spliceosomal RNA
GUACUUGCUUUGGCAGCACAUACACGAAAAUUGGAGUGAUACAGAGAAAAUCACCAUGGGCCCUGUACAAGGAUGAAUGAAAAUUUGUGAAGGAUUCGUAUUUUUU